GAAAUAGGCAACAGUGUGACGGCAAGGGUGGCGUAAGUGGCCAUAGAAAGAAUAACAGCUUCUGUGUAGUCACAUGCUUC
ensembl:ncRNA ZC250.8 ncRNA